CAGACUUUUCCUAGUCCCUGAGACCCUAACUUGUGAGGUUUUUAGUAACAAUCACAAGUCAGGCUCUUGGGACCUAGGCGGAGGGGAACC
rnacentral:pre_miRNA from 1 species